rnacentral:lncRNA from 10 species
GGACCAUGCACAGAGACAUCAUUGUGACAUAUCACUGUGUCCACCACUUAGGUGAUGUAACUCUCCUCUCUGGAAUGGACCCUGAAUACGGAGUGGUAGUGACAUCUUCCUAGGCCAGACACACAGGUGUUGGUACUCUUUUUCCAGGGCUAUGUUUCAAGGAGGGCAUUGUGACAUAUCUCUGGACCUAUCACCGAGGUGAUAUGAUUCAACGCUUGGGCCUCACCGACGUAGAACAUUGUGACAUAAAAGUUAAACCUGCACCAAAGGUGUUGUAACUCUUUCACCUUGGUCCUGUCCUAAGGGAGCCCUGCAACAUAUCUCAGGACCCAGCACUCAGGAACAUUGUGACAUCGUUGGACAUAGCAUCUAGGAAAUGUGACUCUUCUCUCCUGCCUAGGUCCUGCCCACUAAAGGAAUUGUGACAUACCACUGAGUGCAAAACCUAGCCCUGUCUACAGUGGACAUGGUACCACAUGACUUGAGGCUGUAUCCAGGUGAUGUGACUCUUCUGACUUGGCCCUGCCUGCAAAGGAAAUUAUAAUAUAUCCUGAGCUCAGAAUCCAGGCGAUGAGACUCUCCUGCCUCUUUUCUGCCCACAAGUGAAAUUGUGACUUAUACCUGCGUUCAGCUCACAUGCACAAAUAUAACUAUUAUACCUGGACCCAGAAAGGAGAGAUAUUUGGACUCUUAUAGCCAGUCCUAUGGCCAUAAGUAAAGUAAAGGGUCCCCUGUUUGUAUAAAGCUCACAGAGGAUUAUGACACUCAGGCACAUCAUAUAAAGCCUGAGUGGUACAAAGAGUGUCAUAGCAGGGAACAGCAACCAGGUGCGAUUGUGACUCUUGGAUGCUCACCCAGCUGACCCGAUUGUCAUUCUCUCACAAGAACAGGGCCUACAUACAA